CGUAGGUGGCGAGCGUUGUCCGGAAUUAUUGGGCGUAAAGAGCGUGUAGGUGGGAUAGUAAGUCUUAUGUAAAAGUGCGGGGCUCAACCCCGUAAAGCGUGAGAAACUGCUAUUCUUGAGUGCCGGAGAGGAAAGCGGAAUUCCCAGUGUAGCGGUGAAAUGCGUAGAUAUUGGGAGGAACACCAGUGGCGAAGGCGGCUUUCUGGACGGUGUCUGACACUGAGGCGCGAAAGCCAGGGGAGCGAACGGGAUUAGAUACCCCGGUAGUCCUGGCCGUAAACGAUGGGUACUAGGUGUAGGGGGUAUCGACCCUCCUGUGCCGGAGUUAACGCAAUAAGUACCCCGCCUGGGGAUACGGCCGCAAGGUUG
rnacentral:rRNA from 1 species